UACGUAGGGGACGAGCGUUGUCCGGAAUUAUUGGGCGUAAAGAGCGCGCAGGUGGUUGAUUAAGUCUGAUGUGAAAGCCCACGGCUUAACCGUGGAGGGUCAUUGGAAACUGGUCGACUUGAGUGCAGAAGAGGGAAGUGGAAUUCCAUGUGUAGCGGUGAAAUGCGUAGAGAUAUGGAGGAACACCAGUGGCGAAGGCGGCUUCCUGGUCUGUAACUGACACUGAGGCGCGAAAGCGUGGGGAGCAAACAGGAUUAGAUACCCGGGUA
rnacentral:rRNA from 1 species